AACCUAAUCCAGACAUAGCACG
rnacentral:miRNA from 8 species